CCACCGCUAACCCGAACGACACCCAACGAUCCGAAACAGCCUAAACUCUGCUGAAGAAAAUAAGCUCGGCAGCCCAGCACGAACGUAAAUGCCUUCUAAACUACCCCAGGUAUCCAACGCACUGAUACUGCAACGAUACAAUCGAAUCACGGCUCCUAGAGUUAAAUCUGGUAGUUUAAGCAUAUGACGGGCCAAAACGCAGGUUUUCUCCUAAGUCAAAUUUCAAGUCCAACAUGUAUAAUAUAGGAGCGAAACCGAUGAUACACCCACCUCUAGUGAAAUUCCUGGCAGCAAGAGGGUCUCGGAUCACCAGCAACACUGCUGGAAACACCACCAAACCAGCAACAAAGCCCCUUAAGAUCUGGAUAUUACAAUUCACCCAAAAUUCACAAAACCAUCAAUUUCAGCACUUAAGCUAGGAUUUAUCCAAUUUCAAUGUCGAAACUCACCUAAUGAUCUCCAAUUCGGGUGAGGACAGAUCCAAAUCCAGCAACUACUGAUGGGUGAUCAAUCUCAGGUCCAAAAUCCCACUGCCUACAAAGUUAGCAUCAAGAAAAGCUCAAAAUCCCAAUUUUCAGCUCAAAGUCAACAGCAGUCCAGAAAAACCUCAGUUCGACCAAGCUAACCUCAUCCAAAAUCUGCAAUUCAGGCCUUCGUGGAUUCCUCUGGAAGUCUAGAAUCCACAAACCAAGUUUCGUCGAAAUCCGACCUUCCUACGUUGCGCACGAUCAAAAACACUGGAGGUCGUUGCUGAAGAACUGCAGAAUCAGCACCUUGAAAUUCUUGGAGAUGUGGAUCUUGAUACAAAUUGGAAAGAUUCGAGGGAUAAGGGAGCAAAAUCUAAUUCUCUGUGAAGAACAGGUAAAAGAGCUCAAAGGGGACGCAUACAAGGUAUAUAUAGGCUGCUGGGAGGAAUAAGAUAAGCCCCAGGAGAAACAGCUGCUAUCCAGUGUUCUUGCAGAAUCGGGCGUUUCUGGGCGCCUGGAACCAUGUUCUGGGCGACCAAAACAUCCCGACUGCACAACUCAUACACCUCGGACUCUCCGCUCGCGGUCUGCUGCGCCCGUAAACGGCUCCGACGGAACUCACCUACACCUUGCCACGCGUCGAAGCAAGCGAUAUUCACGAUGUCGAAUUUCCGGACCCACUUCUGGGCGCCCGGAACAUAGGAUCCAAAUUGGCUUCCAGUUUUAGCUAAAUUCAACACUCGUUUCUGGGCGACCCAAAAAAUGUUCUGGGCGUCCGAAUCUGGCAAAACUCCAGUUUUGCUUAUUUGAGUGCGCCGAGUCCAAUUCUGCAUCCAAUUCGUGCAGAAUUGACUCCGACUCAGUCCGACACUCUCCAGAGAUGUCGACCAGUCACUAAUACUGAAGCCAACCCUAUCCAAAGCUCAGGAACACUACAUCCUCCCCUACUACAAAAAAAUUUCAUCCACGAAACUGAACACAUACCUCAAUCCAGAGCCUCAAACAGGUAGGGGUAGGACUCCUUCAUCACCGUCUACAGCUCCCAAGUCGCCUCCCGCUCCUCGUAAUUACUCCACUGCACCUUUACAAAGGGUAUGACCCGGUUGCGUAAUUCUCUCGACUCACGAGCCAGAAUCCGCACCGGUCGCUCCUCGUAGCUCAGGUCUUCGCCAAUCUCAAGCGGAGUGAAGUCAAUCAUGUGGGAGGCGUCGAACACAUAUUUUCUCAAAGCCGAGACGUCGAAAACAUCGUGAAUGCCGGCUAGCCGUGGUGGUAGAGCAAUCCUGUAAGCAACUGGCCUGACUCGCUCCAAUACCUCGAAAGGGCCUACAAAACGUGGACUGAGCUUUCCACGUACUCCAAAUCGGCGAAUCCCUCUGGACGGCGAGACUUUAAGAAAAACAUGAUCUCCCAUCUGGAACUCCAAGUCUCGUCUCCGGGUAUCAGCAUAGCUCCUCUGUCGACUCUGGGCUGCUAAUAUGUGCCGUCGCGCCUCUUUUACCUUUUCCUCAGCCUCAAUCAGAAUCUCAGGCCCAAGCGUCCUCCUCUCACCCACACCACUCCAAAAUAAAGGGGAUCAACAUCUGCGUCCAUACAACGCCUCAAACGGAGCCAUCUGGAUGCUCGCUUGAUAGCUAUUGUUGUACGCAAACUAAACCAGUCUCAAAUGCCGAUACCACUCUCCUCCAAAGUCCAAGACACAUGCCCUCAGCAUGUCCUCUAGAGUCUGAAUGGUCCGCUCUGACUGACCAUCUGUCUGUGGGUGAAAUGCUGUGCUGAACUGCAACUGAGUGCCCAAGUCCGUCUGAAGACUCUUCCAAAAGUGCGAGACGAACCUCGGGUCUCGGUCGGAUACUAUCGAAGUGGGCAUGCCAUGCAACCUCACUAUCUCAUCCAAGUACAACUGAGCGAGUCUCUCUCUGGACCAAGCGGUCUGCACUGGUAAGAAGUGAGCAGACUUGGUCAGUCUGUCCACUAUCACCCAAAUCGCAUCAAAACCACCCUGUGCUCUCGGCAAUCUGACGACAAAGUCCAUCGUGAUCUGCUCCCAUUUCCACUCGGGUACUGGUAGACUCUGGAGCUUGCCAGCAGGUACCUGAUGCUCAGCUUUUACCUGUUGACAAGUCAGACACUGGGCCACAAAUCUGCCAAUGUCCCUCUUCAUUCCAUUCCACCAAAACUGAGCCUUUAAAUCCUUAUACAUCUUGGUUCCACCGGGGUGAACAGUAUAAGGUGAACAGUGAGCCUCUCUCAAAAUGUCCUCUCGGAUCUCUGGAUCCAUAGGUACACACAGUCGGUUCCUAUACCGCAGUACUCCUGAACUGUCCACAACAAAGCCCUCGGCCUGUCCCCUCUCAAGCUGCUCUCGAAUCCUCGACAAGUGUGGAUCUCCACUCUGUUUCUCUCGAAUCCUAUCCAACAGAGUGGGCUGCAAGAUCAUAGUCAUCAAUCUCGCAGUAAAUCCAGGGGACACUACCUCGAGUCCCAGCCGUCUCAGCUCCUCGAGUAACGGUCUCUGCCGAGUGAUCAACAUACUCAAGCUCUACACUGCCUUCCUGCUCAACGCAUCUGCCACUACAUUCACCUUGCCGGGAUGAUACUGAAUACUAAUAUCAUAGUCCUUCAGCAACUCCAACCACCGGCGCUGCCUCAAAUUUAACUCCUUUUGGGUGAACAGAUAUUUGAGACUUUUAUGAUCGGUAAAAAUUUCACAGUGCUCGCCGUAUAAGUAAUGCCGCCACAACUUCAAAACAAAGACUACAGCGGGAAGCUCCAAGUCAUGCAUAGGGUAAUUCUUCUCAUAAUCCUUUAACUGCCGUGAAGCAUAAGCAAUCACCCUACCAUGCUGUAUCAGCACGCAACCAAGUCCACUGUGCGAUGCAUCACUGUAGAUCACGAAUCCAUCCCCCAUCACCGGAAGGGCAAGGAUAGGAGCCGAUGUCAACCUCAGUCUCAACUCGUCAAAGCUUCUCUGACAGUCGUCGCUCCAGACAAAAUGAACCCCCUUCCGCGUCAAGCGUGUGAGGGGUGUGGAAAGCUUCGCAAAGCCUUCCACAAACCGACGGUAAUAUCCUGCCAGUCCAAGAAAGCUCCUCACCUCAGUCACCGUCGUCGGUCUGGACCAAUCCCGAAUAGCAUCAAUCUUCUUCGGGUCAACAGCUACUCUCUCUGCUGAUAUCACGUGACCCAAGAAAGCAACCUCCCGCAACCAGAACUCGCACUUCUUUAACUUGGCAUACAACUUCUUCUCUCGCAGAAGCUGUAGCACAAUCCUCAAGUGCUCCUCAUGCUCAGCAUCACUCCGGGAGUAAAUCAGGAUAUCGUCGAUGAAGACUACCACAAACCUAUCUAAGAACGGCUUGAACACUCUGUUCAUCAAAUCCAUAAAUGCGGCAUGAGCAUUCGUCAAUCCAAAAGGCAUCACCGUGAACUCAUAAUGUCCGUACCGAGUCCGAAAAGCCGUAUUGGGAAUACCUCGACCCUCACCCUCAGCUGCUGGUAACCUGACUGGAGAUCAAUCUUCGAAAAGACACAAGAUCCUUGCAGCUGAUCGAAUAGAUUAUCAAUGCGCGGCAGAGGAUACUUGUUUUUGAUGGUCACUUUAUUCAGCUCCCGGUAAUCAACACAUAACCUGAGCGAACCAUCCUUCUUCUUUACAAAUAACACCGACGCUCUCCAAGGCGACACACUGGGUCUCACAAACCCUCUAUCCAUCAAAUCCUGAAGCUGCGCCUUUAGCUCUCUCAACUCAACCAGUGCCAUCCGAUAAGGUACCUUCGAGAUUGGUGCAGUUAUAGGGACUACAUCAAUCACAAACUCAAUCUCCCUCUCUAGUGGCAACAAAAUCAACUCAGGAGGAAACACAUCCGGAAACUCACGGACUACAGGGAUAUCCUCGAGUUCCGGCACCACCGUAGGUACCUCCACAACUGUCGCUAGGAAAGCGACACAUCCACUACUCAGCAUCUGUCGAGCCCUCGCCGAAGAUAUCCAGGUGGCAAACAACGUGCUCCUGCAGCCUCUGAAGGUGAACUCCUCCUGACCUGGCUCACGGAACGUCACAAUCCUCGCUCCACUGUCAAUAGUAGCAUAGUACCGUGCCAGCCAAUCCAUACCGAGCACUACGUCGAAGUCCUGCAGCUGCCCUAACACCAACAGGUCUGCGGGCAUGAUCCAAGAGUCUAACUGCAACGGACAUGACCAACAACACUCUGUAACCUGCAAGACCUAGUCGGGGAUCUGCACCUCUCGUGCCUGUGACAAGGACCCUAACUCUAGACCAUGCAACAAUGCAAAUGCUCAGCUAACAAAAGAAUGCGUGGCACCGGUAUCAAAAAGAGUGCGAGUACGAAUGCAUGAAAUCAAAGUGAUACCUGCCACCACUCGUUCAGCUGUUGUAGAGUCCUCCACCUGAGCUGCGUAGACUCUGCCACUCGGAGCCUGCUGUCGCUGCUCACCCUGUCGCGGCAUGGAUGAUCUAUCCUCCUGGCGGUAACUCAGUGCUGCUCUGAAUGAUUGCUGAGGUGCUGGUGGAGCUGAAGCUGAUGAUGGUGCUGGAGAUGCUGCUCGAGGACAAGCUGCCCUCAUGUGUCCCGGCUGACCACACCCGUAGCACCGGCCCUCCCUCUGCUCACACUGUCUGGGCCAGUUUGGUCCUCCGCAGAUCACACACUGUGGCGUCCUCUCUGGCUGUCCCCUCUGACGAGAGUCCCUGGAUCGCUGGCGUCCCGAGAACCCACGACCCUGAGAACGCGAUCGUGGAGGCCUCGGCGGACGCCUGCUACUCGACUGACCUCCGUCGUCUGGAGCUGGGAGCUUCCUAUCCUGGCUCGGUCCCGGCCCCUGAGCCCUCUCUCGGAGCGACACCUCUCCUCUCUCCUCCCAUAAUGCCUGCUCAAUGGAUGCAUCUAGAGUCCUCGACCUCUACGCCCUAACGAACCUGAAAAGGUCGGGUCUCAAACCCUGCUCAAACAAGUAGACCCUAUGUGCCUCGUCUCUGGCCAUGAACGGAACACAGUUCAGGAGCCUAGUAAACUCCCGAACAUACUCCUGAACUGUCCGCUCACCCUACUGGAUCCUCUUCAAAUCCUCCUCGAUCUUUUGUUUCAUGCUGUUGGGGAAAUACAUCCCAUACAGCAUUCCACAGAACUCAUCCCACCUCAGCUGCGCCGCCACCAGUCCCUGAUCUCGCUUCGCUCUCCGCCACCAGUCAUGUGCAUCACCGGAUAGACAGUGUACUCCCAGAGGUACCUGCUCCCCCUCUGGAACGAAAAGAUCCUCAAAUAACUUCUCCAUCGCACUGACCCAUCCCUCAACAACCCAGGCCUCAGUGCCUCUGCCAUCGAAAAUCGGUGGAUCAAAUCGNCUCAGCUGCGCCGCCACCAGUCCCUGAUCUCGCUUCGCUCUCCGCCACCAGUCAUGUGCAUCACCGGAUAGACAGUGUACUCCCAGAGGUACCUGCUCCCCCUCUGGAACGAAAAGAUCCUCAAAUAACUUCUCCAUCGCACUGACCCAUCCCUCAACAACCCAGGCCUCAGUGCCUCUGCCAUCGAAAAUCGGUGGAUCAAAUCGGCGAAAACGAGCUAACCUCUCCGUCCACCGCUCCUGCUCGGCCUCAGUCAACGGUACUGGCCCUCUAGCAGGCGCAACUGGCGCUACUGGGACUGCUGCUGGCGGAGGGACUGCUGCAGCUGGUGCUGUCACUAGAGUAGUCGGGGGUGGAACUGGCGACUCUGGUGCCCUCGGUACUGAACUCUGGGGCGCAACCAACCUCUCGCACAUCCUCUCAAAUAACUCCCCCUGCCGUCUCGUCACCUCUGUCAGAGCGGCUAACUGUGCACUCAAAUCCGGGGAUGCACUCGCCUCCGGUCGGGCCCUCUGCUCUACAACUGGGGUGCACUCGCCUCUACCUGCUCGGGCAUCUCGGGAGAUCCAGCACGAUCCUGCGCCAACUGCGCACGCUCCCGCAACGACGGUCGGCCUCGGCAACGAUAUAUAGUUGCAAAGAACAAAACAUGGGUCAGAUACAAUAAAACACUCUCGACCCAAUCAAACGAAUGUCUAGAAGGUGGCCCCUGUUUCUCCUCAAAAUUAUGUCGUCUGCAGCCAACAUAAUUUUUCAGGACAAAACAGGAACUCCUCCAAUCACUCACUCCACUCUAGGAGGAGUUAGAACAACAAAUCGUUGACUUUCGCGAUAAAUCACGCCUCUAACGUCUUGCCUUCCUAAGGUUUGCCAAACUUAGGAUUUCUAGGUCCCAACGACCUACAACUAAGCUCUGAUACCAACUUAAUCUGUCACGCCCCGGAUUACACGUUCUCCGGGCGCGCCGACAAAUCCGCCGUGUAUACAAAGAAAAUUUCUCCUGUAUACGAAGCGAUAGCUGUACCUGUAAAUCAUACAAUACUACAAACAGUAGUAUAGAGCUGCUAGGAGAAACAGAAGAAAACCAAAUCGAGUUCCAUGUACAUAUACCAAAAUCCAAAAAAAAAUACAAAACUACUCGCACUGGCGAGUUAAAGAUAGGUAAGUAUAUGAACUCCAACAAAAUAACUACCUGUAGUAGGGCACCUCUAACUCGGCUCGUCGGGUAGAGCUCUAACUCACGACGCCCUUGCCUCGAUCCUGGUCAGCAAUAGCAGCAGCUGAAGACGAUGGCUCUGCAAAAGAUGAAGUAACAACAGGGCGUGAGCACGACUGUAAAAACAAGUAGUCCUCAGUGGGUACCGCCCAAAACAACAUCGGUCCACCCACUAAGUCUACAGAAGGGAGCAAGAAUAGUAGUAAAUGCAGGAAUAAAAUCUACCGCUAUCAAACACUACACUAUCAUGCUCUACACUAACCAACUAUAAGAAAUGUCCAAUCUGACCCAAUCCAAUCGGGACUGUAGACAUACCCGUCCCUGGGACUGUGAACACACCCGUCCCUGCCCAGUUGCGACUAUCCAGCUCUAUCCACACUAGCUGGUCCGUGGAGAGUAAGUCCAACCGGCAUGAGCGACACCAACACGAAAGCAUAAAGCCUGACUCCGGAGUGGCACUCGUGGGCGCUACCCAACCGAGUAUGCAGCGUAUUUCUGUCGAACUCAAUCAGACUCCAACUAGCCAAAGUCAAGUGAACAGGGUCAAAACAGGUCUACAAACCAAACCCACGUGCCCUCGGCACAAUCUGUGACCAAAACAAGAAUCUGGGUCCACCGCUAACCCGAACGGCACCCAACGACCCGAAACAGCCUAAACUCUGCUGAAAAAUAAGCUCGGCAGCCCAGCACGAGCGUAAAUGCCUUCUAAACUACCCCAGGUAUCCAUCGCACUGAUACUGCAACGAUACAAUCGAAUCACGGCUCCUAGAGCUAAAUCUUGUAGUUUAAGCAUAUGACGGGUCAAAACGC
rnacentral:lncRNA from 1 species